GUUCAAACGAGCAUUGAAUACAUUGACAAUAAAUAAUUAAUAAUAUUUAUAUUUUAACUGCUAACGGUCUUAAGUACGUAAAUUUAUCAAGUGCAUGUAACAUUAGGUAAUCAAAGCACAAGAUACUAAUUACAACUUACAAAUAAAAAGAUAAAAUAAAAUAAGAAUAAAUGAGAAGUGUUAACUUUCCUAGUAUAUUUAUGCAUCACUGCAAAGAUAAAUCGCGUGCGAUAAUUGCUAUUGGACUUGACAUAUGCAUAAUAAAAACUAAAGCGGGGUCAUUGGUCACUCAACGAUUAAACUGAUUACUUAAUCGAUCAAUCGAUCGGGUAUUCCAGUGAUAAACAGUCAGCAGCAAGUGAAGCUUGAGUGGGAAUUCAAUUGAUAAGGAAAUUAACACGCAAUGGCAACUCACAAUAUUUAUAUUUAUGUAAUAUCGACAAUUUAAUUCAGAGAUGGAUGGAAUCUCAGAAUCUUCUGGCGGCUGCUCUGACUUAGAAAUAACGGCGUAGUUUUUUAGGUACUCGACGACCUGGGUGUGACCGAAGGUCUCAGCUUCAUCUACUGGCCGGUUGCCCCAUCUUUAACAAUACGUUUUUUUUUUUAAAUCAGUACCAAUGCUGGUAGAAAUGAAAAUAAAUAAAGAUGAUUUAUUGGUACCUGUCCUUGGGAUCGUGAGGAACUCCGCACUGCUCGAUGAGAAACUCAACGCAGUCGAGAUGGCCUUCGCUCGCCGCCAAAUGUAAAGCUGUGCGUCCAUCAUAAUCUGAUAGUGUCAUAUCCAUUCCGCUUAGACGGUGCCUAAGAUAAUUUUUUUAGUUUAAUUAUUUAUUCAAAACAUUCUAGCAACAAAUAAAUAUCUAAUAAAAAAAGUAAUGCCCUAAUAGUGGAGGGAGGGGCAAAAGGGGGUACUAGAAAUAGAAGAAAUUUUCAGUUACCGUUGAAAAAAAAAAUUUUUCAUUUCUGUGGGCAAAGUGGGGUAUACCCUCUAAAAAAGGAAAAAAAAAAAAUUUCUGGAUUUUAAACGAAUUUGAUUAAGUUUAAUUUUUUUAAAAAUAAUUUACAUGAAGAAAAAUUAUAUUUUACAUGUUUAUUGGAUACAAAAGAAGAAAAUAAUUUUAAUAGUUUUUAUCAUAAAACAAACGUCAUUAAUAUUUUCCAACUGACAAUUGAUUUUUGAAAAAGUUUACCAAAAAAAAAUUCAAAGUAACGCUUAAUUAUAUUUACAGAAGUGAUUUUGGAAUGUUUAAAAACCAUUUAAAAUAUUAAAUUUUUUUUUAUCAAAUUUUAGAGGUACCCCGUUUUGCCGCCCCCCCCCCCCCUCCUUCCUCUAUAUAUUUAUUUUCAAAUAAAUAACUAAUAAAAAAAUAUCUAAUAGUUGGUACACUGAAAAAAAAAACUAAUUUUUGGAAAAAUAAAAUUUUUUAGCCGAAAAAAAUUUCUGUAAUAAAUAAAAUUAAAAUUUAUAAUUUAAAUUAAAUAUUUUUUCUCAGUGUCAUUAAUAAUUAAUUAAUCUAAAAAAUAAAAACAGCUAGAGUCUUAAUGUUUUGUGUUCCGCGCAAACUUACCGCUUGAGGCAUUCUUGUAAGUCGAUGUCGUGUCUGUUUGCAUGCAUUGAGUACUGUAUUUAUUAACAAUUACAAUAUUUUAAGUGUAUCAUUGUGAUUUAUGAUUGUGCGGUGUUGAGUUUUAUUUAAAUCGAUGGCAGUGACUGAUAAUUAAUUAUUAAUUAUUAAACAUUAAUUACAAGAGUUACUCCGUCUUACCUCCGCAUGGCAGUGACGUCUCCAUUGGCUGCGCUGAACAGCAGAUUAACUAUCGACAGGCCUUUGGUCUCGUACUUGUGCCUCCUGGGGUCUUUUUUGUUGGUGGCGUGCUUGAGAUUGUCGUAUCUGUGGAAAUUAAAUUCGUUUACAAGUUCCUCGCAGAACUGGACUCCUCUGCAAGAGUUUCCCAGUGAGUCUAGAGGCGGCGACCAAGUGCAGAUCCCCAUUACGUUGGGAAUAACCACUAGCAGGCUUCCA